CAGGCGUUUGGUUCAAUUCCAGAGAAGGGCAAGUGCCUAACCAGAGACACCAGGGGAAAGCUGCUAAUUUCGGCUGGGGAGGUUAACUCCCAAAUGGGGGCUCAUACCUGGACCAUAGUCUAUGGGCAGGAGGCCAGCUUCCACACUCCUCCAGGAGUUUUGGGAAAAUGUCCAUGGUAAAGAACCUUGUCACACAUACAAUGGAGCCAU